AACUAACGCUAGCGGCGUGCCUAACACAUGCAAGUCGUACGAGAAAGUCGGCUUCGGCCGAUGAGUAAAGUGGCGCACGGGUGAGUAACGCGUGGAUAAUCUACCCUUUAGUCGGGAAUAACCCACCGAAAGGUGAGCUAAUACCGGAUAACGCUGCGCAACUACUGUUGUGUAGCCAAAGAAGGCCUCUGCUUGCAAGCUUUUGCUGAAGGAUGAGUCCGCGUACCAUUAGCUAGUUGGUAGGGUAAUGGCCUACCAAGGCUACGAUGGUUAGCUGGUCUGAGAGGAUGAUCAGCCACACUGGAACUGAGACACGGUCCAGACUCCUACGGGUGGCAG
rnacentral:rRNA from 1 species